rnacentral:rRNA from 1 species
CCUACGGGGGGCAGCAGUGAGGAAUAUUGGUCAAUGGCCGGAAGGCUGAACCAGCCAAGUAGCGUGAAGGAUGACUGCCCUACGGGUUGUAAACUUCUUUUAUAAAGGAAUAAAGUGAGGCACGUGUGCCUGUUUGUAUGUACGUUAUGAAUAAGGAUAGGCUAACUCCGUGCCAGCAGCCGCGGUAAUACGGAGGAUCCGAGCGUUAUGCGGAUUUAUUGGGUUUAAAGGGAGCGUAGAUGGGUUGUUAAGUCAGUUGUGAAAGUUUGCGGCUCAACCGUAAAAUUGCAAUUGAUACUGGCAGCCUUGAGUACAGUUGAGGUAGGCGGAAUUCGUGGUGUAGCGGUGAAAUGCUUAGAUAUCACGAAGAACUCCGAUUGCGAAGGCAGCUUACUAAACUGCCACUGACAUUGAUGCUCGAAAGUGUGGGUAUCAAACAGGAUUAGAUACCCGAGUAGUC